GAGUAACCCCAGAGUGCACUCUGGACGAUGGGGUGGGGCGACACUUUUGGGUGGAGCGACACGUGUCGCCCUGCCCCUAUUUUCCUGUUCCCGCCUUUGCCAUUUUCCUCCGACCCCCUAGGGGGCAGUUUGCGAUAAAAGGCAACGGUGGCAGCAUUAACGAACGAACGACGCUCCACGUUGAUUGCGAUUCCAAAUGUGGGUCUGAGCGUACAGCACGAGCAAGCACCUGCAGCUCGGUAGCACAGAGGUUUGGAGCUGAAUCCUGCAUUAGAGAGAGCCCUGCAUUGAAAGUGGAGAUGUUUUGUCAUACAGCAAAAUGACAAGAUCCCACAUCGACAACUUCCGCUUCUUCAAACAGAGGAUCUCUUCCAAACACGGAGACCAAAAACCAAAUGGAUAAUAGGAACAAGCCAGCAGUUACACCUA